rnacentral:rRNA from 1 species
UACGUAGGGUGCGAGCGUUGUCCGGAAUUACUGGGCGUAAAGAGCUCGUAGGUGGUUUGUCGCGUUGUUCGUGAAAUCUCACGGCUUAACUGUGAGCGUGCGGGCGAUACGGGCAGACUGGAGUACUGCAGGGGAGACUGGAAUUCCUGGUGUAGCGGUGGAAUGCGCAGAUAUCGGGAAGAACACCCGUGGCGAAGGCGGCUCUCUGGGACGGUACUGACGCUGAGACGCGAAAGCGUGGGGAGCGAACAGG